AUCAGGUUAUCGUUAAACAUUUCGAUCAACGGCUAUAUAUAAUUCUCUCUUUAGUUAAACAAUUUUUUAUUAAACAGACGAGAUCUAAUUUAAGGUACCGAUCAACGGCCGAUUCAUUAUUUUUCAACGGACGGGAUCAGAUCAGGUUAUCGUCCAACAUUUCGAUCAACGGCUGUAUAUAAUUCUCUCUUUAGUUAUUAUGUCAAACUCUAGGGUUGUCUCGCCGCCGGCCGUUUUGGAGAUCUUUCAAGAAAUUUUCUCUCUGUUUUUUCUUCGAAAUGGUUCAAAUCCCACUCUCAACAGGUUUUUUAUUAAACGGACGAGUUCUAAUUCAAGGUACCGAUCAACGGCCGGAUCAUUAUUUUUUCAACGGACGAUAUCAGAUCAGGUUAUCGUUAAACAUUUCGAUCAACGGCUAUAUAUAAUUCUCUCUUUAGUUAAACAAUUUUUUAUUAAACAGACGAGAUCUAAUUUAAGGUACCGAUCAACGGCCGAUUCAUUAUUUUUCAACGGACGGGAUCAGAUCAGGUUAUCGUCCAACAUUUCGAUCAACGGCUGUAUAUAAUUCUCUCUUUAGUUAUUAUGUCAAACUCUAGGGUUGUCUCGCCGCCGGCCGUUUUGGAGAUCUUUCAAGAAAUUUUCUCUCUGUUUUUUCUUCGGAAAUGGUUCUUCCCAAUCUUCUCGACCUCGACGCCGUCGACAGCCACUCCUAAUUCGACGCCACCAUUCGUUCUUUCUUCUCCGACGGCUACUACUGUCGCCUUCCCAGACUCGUCGAUCCUGUCGCGGGAUAAAAUCGGGCCCGCUCUUCCCACUACCGACGGCGCCGCCGAGUUCCUUCCGGUACUUCCUGAACUGGAAACGUCGCCGGAUUACCGCAGCCGCUACCGCCGUCGUUCGACGUGCAGAGUAAGGCCGGCGAUGACUUGUCGGCGCAGGUCGGAUUGCUGGGCCUCACGGUGCAUACUUUCCUUGCUCCCGUAAAAUCUUCCUAAAUCCACUGAUUCAUCUAAAUGAAUAGAGAAUCAGAUGUUCCCAGAGAUGGAGCAAAAGCUUCAGGUUGUAAACAUUCAGAAGUAAAAGCCCGCCAGAAAUGGAAUGAUCCUGAGUAGAGGAGAGUAGUGGAAUGAUAAUGAGUAGAGGAGAGAGCUGUCCCAAUGUAAUUAUAAUGUGCCACUCUUUUCUUCAUCAGAGUCUCAUGGUUCCUCCAGGUGGCUGGAGGCGUUCAAAUGUGAAAUUCACUAUGGAAGUGGAAUGCUACGAGUUGAAUUUAAGAUCA